CGUUUAGUGGCGGACGGGUGAGUAACGCGUGGGUAACCUGCCCUGUACAGGGGGAUAACAGCUGGAAACGGCUGUUAAUACCGCAUAAGCGCACAGGAGCGCAUGCUCCGGUGUGAAAAACUCUGGUGGUACAGGAUGGACCCGCGUCUGAUUAGCUGGUUGGCGGGGUAACGGCCCACCAAGGCAACGAUCAGUAGCCGGCCUGAGAGGGUGAACGGCCACAUUGGGACUGAGACACGGCCCAAACUCCUACGGGAGGCAGCAG
rnacentral:rRNA from 1 species